GCCCGGAUGGUGGAAUUGGUAGACACGUCAGCUUGAGGGGCUGAUGAUCUUUUGAUCUUGCAAGUUCGAGUCUUGUUCCGGGCA
rnacentral:tRNA from 1 species